GUUUCAAAGAUUAAGCCCUGCAUGUUUAAGUAUAAGCAAUUAUACAGCGAAACUGCGAAUGGCUCAUUAUAUAAGUUAUCGUUUAUUUGAUAGUACCUUACUACUUGGAUAACCGUGGUAAUUCUAGAGCUAAUACAUGCUAAAAAUCCCGACUCCGGAAGGGAUGUAUUUAUUAGAUUAAAAACCAAUGCCCUCUGGGCUCCUUGGUGAUUCAUAAUAACUUUUCGAAUCGCAUGGCCUUGCGCCGGCGAUGGUUCAUUCAAAUUUCUUCCCUAUCAACUUUUGAUGUUUGGGUAUUGGCCAAACAUGGUCGCAACGGGUAACGGAGGGUUAGGGCUUGACCCCGGAGAAGGAGCCUGAGAAACGGGUACUACAUCCAAGGAAGGCAGCAGGCGCGCAAAUUACCCAAUCCCGAUUCGGGGAGGUAGUGACAAUAAAUACUGAUACAGGGCUCUUUUGGGUCUUGUAAAUGGAAUGAGUACAAUUUAAAUCCCUUAACGAGGAACAAUUGGAGGGCAAGUUGGCCCAAAAAAAAAAAAAAU
rnacentral:rRNA from 1 species